AAAGAUGCUAAGAUAGAGAGAGUAAAUUUAAUCAAUUAUUUAGAGAGAGAAGAUUACCAGCUGCAAGUCUUCUUAUAAGCGAUUAUUUUGAAGUUCACUCUGGAGCACCUGUAAUGAACUAACAGUAAUUACAGGCGGAGAAACACCGUUACGUAUAUGAGAGAACAUAAACUUUAUGUUAAUUAGGGUGGUACCACGGAAAUUUCGUCCCUAAA
rnacentral:ncRNA from 1 species